rnacentral:rRNA from 1 species
CAGCAGCCGCGGGAAUACGGAGGGCGCGAGCGUUACCCGGAUUUACUGGGCGUAAAGGGCGUGUAGGCGGCCUGGGGCGUCCCAUGUGAAAGGCCACGGCUCAACCGGGGAAGUGGCACCGAUACGGCCGAGCUGGAGGAAGGUAGGGGGGUCUGGAACUUCCGGUGGAGCGGUGAAAUGCGUUGAGAUCGGAAGGAACGCCCGUGGCGAAAGCGAGGCCCUGGACCUUUUCUGACGCUGAGACGCGAAAGCCAGGGGAGCGAACGGGAUUAGAUACCCCAGUAGUCCCUGUCUCUUAUAC